GACAACGUGGCCGAGUGGUUAAGGCGUUAGCCUGCUAAGUUAAUGGGAUAUUCCCGCGCGUGUUCGAAUCACGUCGUUGUCG
rfam:Blastocystis sp. NandII AV274scaffold_46, whole genome shotgun sequence.